rfam:Desulfomicrobium orale DSM 12838, complete genome.
AAUGGCGGGAAUAUAUCAAGCUAUCCAGAUAUUGUGAUGAGACACGGAAGGCGGUGCAAAUCCGCCGCGGACGCGCCACUGUAACCGGCGGCAAAACCAGCCGGAGCCACUGCCUGCGGAUUGCGGGCGGGAAGGCCCGGCGUCAUGGGCCGGAAGCCAGGAGACGACUUGUCACAAUGGCCGCGA